UCCGGUUUGUCACCGGCAGUCUCCUUAGAGUUCCCGACAUUACUCGCUGGCAACUAAGGACAAGGGUUGCGCUCGUUGCGGGACUUAACCCAACAUCUCACGACACGAGCUGACGACAGCCAUGCACCACCUGCGCUGGAUCCCGAAGGAUCACCGUGUUUCCACGGAUUACCCAGCAUGUCAAGCCUUGGUAAGGUUCUUCGCGUUGCAUCGAAUUAAGACACAUGCUCCACCGCUUGUGCGGACCCCCGCCAAUUCCUUUGAGUUUCAAUCUUGCGAUCGUACUUCCCAGGUGGGAUACUUAAUGCUUUCGCUCAGACACACACAGUGUAUAGAGUAUGUCGAGUAUCCAUAGUUUAGGGCGUGGACUAC
rnacentral:misc_RNA from 1 species